rnacentral:rRNA from 1 species
GAUGAGCGCUAGCGGCAGGCUUAAUACACGCAAGUCGAGGGGCAGCAUGAUUGUAGCAAUACAAUUGAUGGCGACCGGCAAACGGGUGCGGAACACGUACACAACCUCCCAAUAAGUGGGGAAUAGCCCAGAGAAAUUUGGAUUAAUACCCCGUAACAUAACGAUGUGGCAUCACAUUGUUAUUAUAGAUUUUUCGCUUAUUGAUGGGUGUGCGGCUGAUUAGAUAGUUGGCGGGGUAACGGCCCACCAAGUCUACGAUCAGUAGCUGAUGUGAGAGCAUGAUCAGCCACACGGGCACUGGUACACGGGCCCGACUCCUACGGGAGGCAGCAGUAAGGAAUAUUGGACAAUGGACGCAAGUCUGAUCCAGCCAUGCCGCGUGAAGGAUUAAGGUCCUCUGGAUUGUAAACUUCUUUUAUAAGGGACGAAAAAAGGCUUUUCUAAGUCGUCUGACGGUACCUUAUGAAUAAGCACCGGCUAACUCCGUGCCAGCCGCCGCGGUAAUAC